GCACGGAGCAACAACACACGGAUCGGUGUUACAACGGCGCACGACGGAUCAACGUCAUAACGGCGCCAAAAAAGGAGGAGGCUGUCGUCAGAGUCGUAGCUCCGCCCCAUCCUCUUCCUCCAUCCACCGAUCUAUUUCACAAAUUGAAAACCCGCAUAUGCAUAAUACAAUUACAAUUGUUCUCUUUCACAAAUUGCCACAGAUUCUGUAAUGCUUCUUUUUUUUAAUGCUUCCAAGUUCCAACCCCUAUAUUGUGUUAUGGAAUUGAAAUUGUUCUGAAUCUGUCGAUGAAAUUAUGCAGAAAUUUGUAAAAUACCAAUUUUAGGUAGAUUGUGUGUGAACGACGUGUUUUACUCAACUGUGUGAAUUUGUUGCUUUUUUUUUUUGGGAAGCAUUCUGAUACGUUGGAUUGGUUUAAUGGUUCUGAUUUUUUCAACUGUGUGUAACUGUGUCAUAUAUGGACUGCAGCAAAUCCAAAUCCCU
rnacentral:lncRNA from 1 species